GCCCCCGUAGCACGAAGGUCGUGCAGUUGCCUUGUAAGCAUCAGGUUCUGGUUCGAUUCCGGACGGGGGCACCA
rnacentral:tRNA from 1 species